rnacentral:rRNA from 1 species
AUGAACGCUGGCGGCGUGCCUAAUACCUGCAAGUCGAGCGAACAGACGAGGAGCUUGCUCCUCUGACGUUAGCGGCGGCCGGGUGAGUAACACGUGGAUAACCUACCUAUAAGACUGGGAUAACUUCGGGAAACCGGAGCUAAUACCGGAUAAUAUAUUGAACCGCAUGGUUCAAUAGUGAAAGACGGUUUUGCUGUCACUUAUAGAUGGAUCCGCGCCGCAUUAGCUAGUUGGUAAGGUAACGGCUUACCAAGGCGACGAUGCGUAGCCGACCUGAGAGGGUGAUCGGCCACACUGGAACUGAGACACGGUCCAGACUCCUACGGGAGGCAGCAGUAGGGAAUCUUCCGCAAUGGGCGAAAGCCUGACGGAGCAACGCCGCGUGAGUGAUGAAGGUCUUCGGAUCGUAAAACUCUGUUAUUAGGGAAGAACAAAUGUGUAAGUAACUAUGCACGUCUUGACGGUACCUAAUCAGAAAGCCACGGCUAACUACGUG